GAAAUGCGAUAAGUAAUGUGAAUUGCAGAAUUCAGUGAAUCAUCGAAUCUUUGAACGCACCUUGCGCUCCCUGGUAUUCCGGGGAGCACGCCUGUUCGAGUGUCGUGAAACUAUCAAGCCAGGAUGCUUUCUUGCUUCCUGGUCUUGGUUUAUUGGGCUUUGCCGUGCCCCUUCAUUGGGAACGGCUGGCCUUAAAAGCAUUAGCUGACUCCAUGUGGUUAUUGGUAUUCUACUUGGCGUGAUAAUAAUCUGACCGCUGAGAAAGUGUCCUUUCGGGGAUGGCCAAUUUUCAUGUGGGGUUGCUCCUAAUCUCUGGAGCUUUCAUGUUCCAUUUUCAACUUUGGCCUCGAAUCAGGUGGGACUACCCGCUGAACUUAA
rnacentral:rRNA from 1 species